rnacentral:lncRNA from 1 species
AUGAGCACUGGGUGUUAAAUGCAACUGAUGAAUCACUAAAUUCUACCCCUGAAACUAAUAAUACACUGUAUGUUAACUAAAUUGAAUUCAAAUAAAAAAUGAAAAAAAAAACCUGUUAUGUGAUCCAUUCUAGGACAUAUUAUUGUUGGCAUGGAUUCGUAUCAUUGUUUAUAUUCAUAACCUUGUGUUGGCAGGUGCGUGCUUGUUCCUGUGAUGAGUUCAGAGCAACUGCCAUCUGCGCAAUGGGAGGUCCGAAACUGAAAAGGGAAGGGGAAGACUGAAUGUAUUCUGAAAAGGAACUUAGGCCCCCUGCCUGUACCCUUGCUGCCAUGCUGGGGCAUGUUGGUGUCGGAACGAGUGAGAAUGAGCCAACCCGGAGAAUGCCACAGUUUCUUGCGUCCUUACAAGUUCAUUGUGAGACUUCAGGCAAGUGGGUUGACUGGGAAGACCACACGUUCUCUGGGAAGCUGGAGAAGCAGCCCCUGACAGCUCCAAGGCUCGUAGCCAAACUAUUCCGAGAUCAUAAAAGAAAAGAACUCCUCUCUCCCAGAAUCGGUUUCUUCCAAGGUCCAGAGGCCUUUGUUACCAGCCAAACUUGGUUUGUGUUCCAGUUCUUCUGGCCAGAGGAGUGGAGUCUUUAACCAGAGAAGGAACGUCCCCCAGAUAAGCGGUACCUUCCUCCUUCCCAGUUUAAUGACCAACCUUUCCACGCUUCAUUUUUGACCCUAGGUGGGUAUUAUGGGAGAGAUAUAAAGCAUCUGCCUUAUUUCUUCAACUACCAGUUAAAGUCUGUAUUUGCGUAUAUAUUAUAAACUGUUCCUUUCAUUGUUCAAAUGGUAAAUGUGACUUAAUAUUUGCCCAGGUGGAUAAGAUAGCUGUUUUAUGGGUAUAUUAGAACUGUUAGUUAAUAAAAUCUAACUCAGAGGAAGGUAUUUCA